rnacentral:piRNA from 1 species
UAGAAAAGUCCCCUGUUUUGUGAUGUAGGA